GAUGAACGCUGGCGGCGUGCUUAACACAUGCAAGUCGAACGACGAGCGAUGGAAGCUUGCUUCUAUCAAUCUUAGUGGCGAACGGGUGAGUAACGCGUAAUCAACCCGCCUUUUAGGGGGGGACAAAAGUUGGAAACGACUGCUAAUACCGCAUACGAUCUUAUCUCGGAAUGGAGGAAAGCUGCAAGGUGGGCUCUAUUUAUAAGCUCUCUCUGAAGGUGGGGAUUGCGUCUGAUUAGCUAGCAGGGGGGGUAACGGCCCACCAAGGCGAAGAUCAGUAGCCGGGCUGAAAGGAUGGACGACCACAAUGGGACUGGGACACGGCCCAGACUCCUACGGGGAGCAGCAGUGGGGAAUCUUCCGCAAAUGACGGAAAGCUGACGGAGCAACGACGCGUGAGGGGUGACAGCCUUCGGGGUGUAAAGCUCUGUUUGUCGGGACGAAAAACCUUCUUGCGAACAGUUAGAAGGAUUGACGGUACCGAAAGAGAAAGCAACGGCUAACUACGUG
rnacentral:rRNA from 1 species